rnacentral:rRNA from 1 species
UCUAUGCACAAGCCGAAUACGGUGAAGCCGCGAAUGGCUCAUUACAACAGCCACUGUUUACUUGAUUCUGAUUAUCCUACUUGGAUAACUGUGGUAAUUCUAGAGCUAAUACAUGCAACCAAGCUCCGACCGUAAGGGACGAGCGCAUUUAUUAGAACAAAACCAAUCGGGCUUCGGCCUGAGGUUUGGUGAAUCUGAAUAACUGAGCUGAUCGCAUGGUCUUUGUACCGGCGACGCAUCUUUCAAGUGUCUGCCUUAUCAACUUUCGAUGGUAGUUUAUGUGCCUACCAUGGUUGUAACGGGUAACGGAGAAUAAGGGUUCGACUCCGGAGAGGGAGCCUGAGAAACGGCUACCACAUCCAAGGAAGGCAGCAGGCGCGCAAAUUACCCACUCUCGGCACGAGGAGGUAGUGACGAAAAAUAACGAGGCGGUUCUCUAAGAGGCCCGCUAUCGGAAUGGGUACAAUUUAAA